UUUCAGCUUACCAUCACGUCAUCGAUACCCCUCAGUUUAUGGUGUGACACCAACAUCGAAACACGUGUUUCAAAAUAGCUGAUCGUUUCUCAACUCCGGUAUUAUUACCAAUAAUAGCAAGUAUAUUGAUUCAAGAAUAGAAAAAAUUAAACACCGAGAAGAAAUGGAAUUGGAAGAAGGAUUGUUAACUGACAGAGACAGAUUUUUUAAUGAUACUAUGUAUUUCUUGAGACACUGCUACUUUUACAAGUAAUAUCGUCCUUUAUUGUUUGAAACAACGAUGAUAUUGCGGAUGGAUGAAGUUAGUGGGACA
rnacentral:misc_RNA from 1 species